UCAGCAGAGUAAACUCAAUACGAAAACCUAUUUCUCUGUCUCUGUCUCUCCUUCAAACGCAAAUUCAACCCCUAAACAAAUCUCUAUCUCCUUCAAAAGCAAACUUAGCCCAACAAGCUAUACGCAGAUCUUUCUCUCUUCCCCUCCGACGGUAAACGAAUUCAACUAAGCCACAAACGCUUUGCCUCACAACCAACGGCUACAGCAAGAGCAAGAGCAAGCCGAAGAAGAGGACCUGUGAUUUCUGUGAUUCUAGGUUCAUGAUUUGAGAUUUAAGUAGAGAUUUUUGGAUGACAAUGGUGAAAGAUGAUUUCUGUGUAUGGGCAAAGUUCAUUCUUCGCUUCAUUCAGUUAUAGUCUAAUCCAGUCAUGGGUUAUUUACAGCUGCUGACAGCGAUGAUAUCUCCACAGCUAUACAGUUCGUCAAUAAGGCAAGGCCAUGGAUUACAUUGAUGGCCGUUGGCUAGGAAUAUGGUGCAAACAUGUUGACGAAGUACUUGGUAGAAGCUGGAGAGAAUACAUCGCAUACAGCUGCCAUGUGCAUAGACAAUCCGUUUGACUUAGAGGAGGCUACAAGGUCCUUUCCUUAUCACAUGGCCAUUGGUCAGAAGUUCACUGGUGGACUGAUAGAUAUUCUAAGAUCUAAUAAGGAAACCCCCAAAUCAAAAACCAUAGCCCCUUCCUAUCAAAAAAGAAAAAAAGAAGAAGAAGAAGGAAAACCAUAGCUUCUCAUCCGUUUGUCUCUCCAGUCUCUAUGCUUCGCCUUUAGUGCACCUUCUCCUUUGUCUAUGCUCCUAAUGAUGGUAAGCGAUUAAAAGUAAAUGAAGAGAUUUGUUUUCUCUUUGUUUCACCUUCAGUUCAAUUGACAACCGAUUUCCUAUUGGUUUUUUGUGAGCUUUGUAGAAUUGGGAUUGAAGGGAGCAAAAUCAAGAUGCCGUGGACGUCCUCUUUUGAUUCAAAUUCGUAAAAGCUUCCUUACUCUCUUUCUCUCUCCAUGUGGCGUGAGGUCAAAUAUUUGCUUUCUCUGUUCUAAAUAACAAUUUAUAGAACUCAAUAUUUUAUGUUAAAUAAAUAUACGAUGUACUCUUCUAUAUAAUGCAGAUUUGUUGUAUUAUGUUCUUUCUCUACUCUUUUUGAGUCAUAGCAAAAGAAUUUAACAUUAGUAACUAUAUUCUAUUUAUUUAUUAUGAAAAUAAGAUUGCGAUCAUUAUUGCAA